rnacentral:rRNA from 1 species
UGCCGGCGACCGGCGGACGGGUGAGUAGCACGUAUGCAACCUGCCCGUCUCAGGGGGAUAAUCGUCGGAAACGGCGUCUAAUACCCCGUAUGAAGCUGGACGGCAUCGUCUGGUUUUGAAAGAAUAUCGGAGACGGAUGGGCAUGCGGCGCAUUAGCUGGUUGGCGGGGUAACGGCCCACCAAGGCGACGAUGCGUAGGGGUUCUGAGAGGAAGGUCCCCCACACUGGUACUGAGACACGGACCAGACUCCUACGGGAGGCAGCAGUGAGGAAUAUUGGUCAAUGGGCGAGAGCCUGAACCAGCCAAGUCGCGUGAGGGAGUACUGCCCUAUGGGUUGUAAACCUCUUUUGUCGGGGAGCAAAAGCCGGACGUGUCCGGCUGUGAGAGUACCCGAAGAAAAAGCAUCGGCUAACUCCGUGCCAGCAGCCGCGGUAAUACGGAGGAUGCGAGCGUUAUCCGGAUUUAUUGGGUUUAAAGGGUGCGCAGGCGGAUUUUUAAGUCAGCGGUCAAAUCGUGGGGCUCAACCCCAUCCAGCCGUUGAAACUGGGGAUCUAGAGUGUGCGAGAGGUAUGCGGAAUGCGUGGUGUAGCGGUGAAAUGCAUAGAUAUCACGCAGAACCCCGAUUGCGAAGGCAGCAUACCGGUGCACAACUGACGCUCAGGCACGAAAGCGUGGGUAUCGAACAGGAUUAGAUACCCUGGUAGUCCACGCAGUAAACGAUGAAUGCUACCUGUUUGGCCUGA